AGUGAACGCUGGCGGUAGGCCUAACACAUGCAAGUCGAACGGCAGCACAGUAAGAGCUUGCUCUUACGGGUGGCGAGUGGCGGACGGGUGGGGAAUACAUCGGAAUCUACUUUUUCGUGGGGGAUAACGUAGGGAAACUUACGCUAAUACCGCAUACGACCUACGGGUGAAAGCAGGGGAUCUUCGGACCUUGCGCGAUUGAAUGAGCCGAUGUCGGAUUAGCUAGUUGGCGGGGUAAAGGCCCACCAAGGCGACGAUCCGUAGCUGGUCUGAGAGGAUGAUCAGCCACACUGGAACCGAGACACGGUCCAGACUCCUACGGGAGGCAGCAGUGGGGAAUAUUGGACAAUGGGCGCAAGCCUGAUCCAGCCAUACCGCGUGGGUGAAGAAGGCCUUCGGGUUGUAAAGCCCUUUUGUUGGGAAAGAAAAGCAGCAGGUUAAUACCCCGCUGUUCUGACGGUACCCAAAGAAUAAGCACCGGCUAACUUCGUG
rnacentral:rRNA from 1 species